AUGAACGCUGGCGGCGUGCCUAAUACAUGCAAGUCGAGCGAACAGACGGGGAGCUUGCUCCUCUGACGUUAGCGGCGGACGGGUGAGUAACACGUGGAUAACCUACCUAUAAGACUGGGAUAACUUCGGGAAACCGGAGCUAAUACCGGAUAAUAUAUUGAGCCGCAUGGUUCAAUAGUGAAAGACGGUUUUGCUGUCACUUAUAGAUGGAUCCGCGCCGCAUUAGCUAGUUGGUAAGGUAACGGCUUACCAAGGCAACGAUGCGUAGCCGACCUGAGAGGGUGAUCGGCCACACUGGAACUGAGACACGGUCCAGACUCCUACGGGAGGCAGCAGUAGGGAAUCUUCCGCAAUGGGCGAAAGCCUGACGGAGCAACGCCGCGUGAGUGAUGAAGGUCUUCGGAUCGUAAAACUCUGUUAUUAGGGAAGAACAAAUGUGUAAGUAACUAUGCACGUCUUGACGGUACCUAAUCAGAAAGCCACGGCUAACUACGUG
rnacentral:rRNA from 1 species